UCUUUGUUUGAGCUCACUUGCAUCUACUCGGCCCUCAUUCUACAGUGCAGUGUGGUGACCAUCACAUAAGACCGUCGCCCUCAUUAAAGCAGCUAGUGUAAAUGGUGAAACUUUUGGGCCUGACCUGUUUGCAAGGGCCUGGCCAGUGUCAACAUCGGGAGCCUUUUUGGUAGCAUGGGGGCUGGUGGACCUGUACCUACAGGCAGUUCUGCCCCUGUACCAUUUCCCCAGCCAGAGUCAACAUUGGGAACCUCCUCUGCAGCAGCAUGGGGGCUGCUGGACCUGUACCUGUAGGCAGUCCUGCCCCUCCACUGCUGCCCCAGCUGAGCAGAAGGAAGUGCAAGCAAGGAAAGAAGCAUCUGAGGGAUCUACUUAGGACACGGGCUUUAAUCUUUUUGAA
rnacentral:lncRNA from 1 species